rnacentral:rRNA from 1 species
GUGUCAGCAGCCGCGGUAAUACGUAGGAUCCGAGCGUUGUCCGGAAUUACUGGGUGUAAAGGGCGUGUAGGUGGGUCUUUAAGUCGGUGGUGAAAUCUUGCAGCUUAACUGCAAAAUUGCCGUCGAUACUGGAGAUCUUGAGUACGGCAGAGGGAGAUGGAAUUCAUGGUGUAGCGGUGAAAUGUGUAGAUAUCAUGAAGAACACCGGUAGCGAAGGCGGUCUCCUGGUCCGUCACUGACACUGAGGCGCGAAAGCGUGGGGAGCAAACAGGAUUAGAAACCCUCGUAGUCC